rnacentral:hammerhead_ribozyme from 1 species
GUACUGGUGCAGAGUCCCAAACUAGGACGAAACAGCUGUCCAGUAC